rnacentral:rRNA from 1 species
CUUAACGAGAGUUUGAUCCUGGCUCAGAAUCAACGCUGGCGGCGUGCCUCAGACAUGCAAGUCGAACGCGAAAUUUCCCUUCGGGGAGAAAGUAGAGUGGCGCACGGGUGAGUAACACGUAGGUAAUUUGCCUUCGGGUGGGGAAUAACAGCCGGAAACGGCUGCUAAUACCGCAUAAUGCAGCGGCUCGACAUCGAGACAGUUGUUAAAGCGGGGGAUCGAAAGACCUCGCGCCUGAAGAGAAGCCUGCGGCGGAUUAGCUUGUUGGUAGGGUAAUGGCCUACCAAGGCGACGAUCCGUAACCGGCCUGAGAGGGCGGUCGGUCACACUGACACUGACAUACGGGUCAGACUCCUACGGGAGGCAGCAGUCGGGAAUUUUGGGCAAUGGGCGAAAGCCUGACCCAGCAACGCCGCGUGAAGGAUGAAAUCCCUCGGGAUGUAAACUUCGCAAGAACGGGAAGAAUAAGUGGGGGACAAUACCCCCCAUGAUGACGGUACCGUUUGUAAGCUCCGGCUAACU